GCCCAGCCAACAUGCACUUGUGUUUACAACUAAUGGAUCACAGCCAGUUCCAGAUUUCUUUGUUCUUUCUCCUCUCCCACUGCUUCUCUUGACUAGCCUUUA
rnacentral:sRNA from 1 species